UACGGAGGGGGCUAGCGUUGUUCGGAAUUACUGGGCGUAAAGCGCGCGUAGGCGGUCUAUUUAGUUAGGGGUGAAAGGCCUGGGCUCAACCUAGGAACUGCCUUUAAUACUGAUAGACUAGAGUCCGGGAGAGGGUAGCGGAAUUCCAAGUGUAGAGGUGAAAUUCGUAGAUAUUUGGAAGAACACCAGUGGCGAAGGCGGCUACCUGGACCGGCACUGACGCUGAGGUGCGAAAGCGUGGGGAGCGAAC
rnacentral:rRNA from 1 species